AAAUUGUAUUUGUGAAGGGGAAACAGUGUCGACACGCUUGUGGGUUUUGUUGAAUGGAGAAACUUUGUGUUCUAUGCUUUGCGUUGGUUUUCGGCUCGUAUUUGAAUACCGGCAUGAAUCAACCGAGGAAGAGGAUUUUUCCUCCCGUGUGGGAUCAUUCUUGAUCUGGUCGCGGAGAAUAAGGCUGCAACUGGAGCUUUUCCACAAAAUGCAUUACGGGGAUGAUCCUGUCAACACUCCGCGAUAAACCCUGGUGCUUCCAGAAAGCAGGCGACUGAACUGGACCUUCAACUCAACCACCUGCUCCCAGUUCAGCUGAAGAUGGAAAUCGAAGGGAUCAGUAAAUGUCUCCUCAAAUGCUGUCAUCAAGGUAUAAAGAUGCAUCUCGGAGGAUCCACUACAAUACUGGGAAAUGCAAAGACUACGAUUACCCUACGUUAUACAAACAAUAAUUACAUUUCUAUGUAUCAUUAUCAGUGACCUGUGAAAGGAUGUUCUCAAAAGCGAGAGAAAUGGUUUGUAAACGGCGCAAUCGCCUCGGCCCAAAGGCUGUUUCCAGUCACUUGCUGUGACAUGAUCUGCAGCAGCAACAGAUUGUCAGCACUGUGUCGACACAGUUUGAGAUAUACGCCAUACACCUAAUGAGGCAUCAUCUGUCCGUCGCUAUUUCUGAAAGCAGUCAGGAUGUGUCUAGUCAACGAAGUCUUGUAGUUUCUGCAUAACAGAAUUCAGAAGUGAUUUUUCUCUUCCCUUCCACAUUUGAAAACCAAUUUUGAGCCAGUUCGCAUUGUCUUGUGAAAGCAAAGCGGAAAAUUUCUUUUCAUCAACAUAUAAAUAUUUGGAUGACCCAUAAGUAGCCAAAUAUUUCUGUCUGAAGUCUUCAAGAAGAAAUAGGCUCUUAUUUUUGUCAGUGUCAUAACUAGUCUGAGGUUUGGACAUUGCACGUCAAUUUACAGCAAUGGGCUGUGCAAAACCUACCUGCACAACACAUUGACUGCUGAGUCAAUGAUAGUCAAUGAUGAGUGAUAUUAGUAGCCAUUUAAGAUUUUCACCAACUGAAGAUGAAGUGUGUAGUCACUUUAGCAUUUUUUUUUUAGCAACUGUGAAAAAAAAUCGACAGAAUGCAAAUUGUUGAAUUCUUUGGGCUUCCUGCUUCUUCAUGUAAGUUAUCUAAAAUAAUAAUAAUAAUAAUAAGAAGAAGAAGAAUAAUAAUACUAAAAAAAAAACCUUGAUGAAUUGUUGUAUUUUAUAAAGUGAAUGUGGAAUUUGAUGAGUUUGGCUGCUGUCAGUUUAAUUUUAUUAAAGUCUAACAUCGUAGUUCUCACAU